rnacentral:tRNA from 1 species
GCCUCUGUGGUGCAAUUGGCUAGCGCGUUCGGCUGUUAACCGGAAGGCUGGUGGUUCGACCCCACCCGGGGGCG